rnacentral:rRNA from 1 species
AUGGGUUCAUAUACACAAGAUGAGGACAAGUUGAUUUGCCAAUGUUGGAUGGAGAUUAGCGAAGAUCCGAGGAUCAGCGCGCAACAAAAGGGCCUUGUUUUUUGGACGAGAGUCCACAAAACAUUCCAUGAAAGGAAUAUGUUUGAGCCCUACCAAAUUACAAGCAACCAUGGCAUCACCUCGAUUCAAAAGAGGUGGUUGUUCAUCCAACAAGAGUGCAACAAGUAUUGCGCCGCAUUUGAGAGCGUUGAAGCAUGACCCGUGAGUGAUCUCGGUGUUGGGGACAUGGUAUGCUCUCCUCAUCCUAGUCCUUUCCUUGCUGCGGCCAUGAGACUUCGGCCUUGUAUAUGUUUGCAUGUUCAAUUGUUGUUGAUCAUGUGGUGUAGGCAUUUCAAUCUUUGGAGGCAUUCAAGCCCGGCACAAUGA